UACGUAGGGUGCGAGCGUUGUCCGGAAUUAUUGGGCGUAAAGGGCUCGUAGGCGGUUUGUCACGUCAGGAGUGAAAACUCGGGGCUCAACCCCGAGCCUGCUUCUGAUACGGGCAGACUGGAGGUAUGCAGGGGAGAACGGAAUUCCUGGUGCAGCGGUGAAAUGCGCAGAUAUCAGGAGGAACACCGGUGGCGAAGGCGGUUCUCUGGGCAUUACCUGACGCUGAGGAGCGAAAGUGUGGGGAGCGAACAGG
rnacentral:rRNA from 1 species